UACGGAGGGUGCAAGCGUUAAUCGGAAUUACUGGGCGUAAAGCGCACGCAGGCGGCUGAGUCAGUCGAUUGUGAAAGCCCUGGGCUUAACCUGGGAAUUGCAGUCGAUACUACUCAGCUAGAGUAUGGGAGAGGGUAGUGGAAUUCCCGGUGUAGCGGUGAAAUGCGUAGAUAUCGGGAGGAACAUCAGUGGCGAAGGCGGCUACCUGGCCCAAUACUGACACUCAGGUGCGACAGCGUGGGGAGCAAACGGG
rnacentral:rRNA from 1 species